rnacentral:rRNA from 1 species
UUGGAGGGCAAGUCUGGUGCCAGCAGCCGCGGUAAUUCCAGCUCCAGUAGCGUAUAUUAAAGUUGCUGCAGUUAAAAAGCUCGUAGUUGAAUUUCGGGACCAAUAUGUCGGUCGUGCCUCGGUACGUACUGGCAUCGUUGGUUUCUCCCUUCUGAAGAACCAUGAUGUCAUUCAUUUGGUGUCGUGGGGAAUCAGGACUGUUACUUUGAAAAAAUUAGAGUGUUUAAAGCAGGCUCACGCUUGAAUACAUUAGCAUGGAAUAAUGAAAUAGGACGUUUGAUUCUAUUUUGUUGGUUUCUAGGAUCGACGUAAUGAUUAAUAGGGAUAGUUGGGGGCAUUAGUAUUCAAUCGUCAGAGGUGAAAUUCUUGGAUUUAUUGAAGACUAACUACUGCGAAAGCAUUUGCCAAGGAUGUUUUCAUUAAUCAAGAACGAAAGUUAGGGGAUCGAAGACGAUCAGAUACCGUCGUAGUCUUAACCAUAAACUAUGCCGACUAGGGAUCGGAUGAUGUUAAUUUUUUAAUAACUCAUUCGGCGCCUUACGGGAAACCAAAGUGUUUGGGUUC